rnacentral:rRNA from 1 species
GACGAACGCUGGCGGCGUGCUUAACACAUGCAAGUCGAACGGAAAGUCCCUGCUUUUGUGGGGUGCUCGAGUGGCGAACGGGUGAGUAACACGUGAGUAACCUGCCCUUGACUUUGGGAUAACUUCAGGAAACUGGGGCUAAUACCGGAUAGGAGCUCCUGCUGCAUGGUGGGGGUUGGAAAGUUUCGGCGGUUGGGGAUGGACUCGCGGCCUAUCAGCUUGUUGGUGGGGUGGUGGAUUACCAAGGCUUUGACGCGUAGAGGGGCUGAGAGGGUCACAGGCCACAUUGGGACUGAGAUACGGCACAGCCUCCUCCGGGAGGCAGCAGUGGGGAAUAUUGUACAAUGGGAGGAAGCCUGAUGCAGCAACGCCGCGUGCGGGAAGACGGCAUUCGGGUUGUAUACCGCUUUCGCCUGUGACGAAGCGUGAGUGACGGUAAUGGGUAAAGAAGCACCGGCUAACUACGUG